rnacentral:tRNA from 1 species
UUACUGAUAGGUUAAGUAAACUAACAAAUUGUGGUUUUGUAGAUUACAUCAAUUAUUAUUGUGUAUC